rnacentral:rRNA from 1 species
UACGUAGGGGGCAAGCGUUAUCCGGAAUUACUGGGUGUAAAGGGUGCGUAGGCGGCACGCCAAGUCAGUUGUGAAACCCGUAGGCCCAACCUAUGGCUUGCAAUUGAAACUGGCGAGCUAGAGUACAGGAGAGGAAAGCGGAAUUCCUAGUGUAGCGGUGAAAUGCGUAGAUAUUAGGAAGAACACCGGUGGCGAAGGCGGCUUUCUGGACUGAAACUGACGCUGAGGCACGAAAGCGUGGGGAGCAAACAGG